CUCUGUACAGUGCUCUGUCCUAGGCAUGGAAGAGCAUCUGCUUGUUGAUGGCAAAGCUGCCACCAUUGCAUUGGUAGCAGAUUCUGACUUGUGCAAGCGACAGAA